rnacentral:misc_RNA from 1 species
GGAAGUAAAAGCCGUAACAAGGUUUCCGUAGGUGAACCUGCGGAAGGAUCAUUAUUGUAUAACCGAGGUGCGAGGGCUGUCGCUGACCCGAAAGGUCGUGCACGCCCGAGUGCCCUCACACGCAUCCAUCUCACCCCUAUGUGCACCACCGCGUGGGUCCCCCUUUGGCUUGUUCGGAGGGGGGCUUACGUUUUCACACAAACUUUGUAUGCAGUGUAGAAUGUAUUUUUUGUUUUUGCGAUCACGCAAUCAAUACAACUUUCAACAACGGAUCUCUUGGCUCUC